rnacentral:rRNA from 1 species
UACGUAGGGGGCUAGCGUUGUCCGGAUUCAUUGGGCGUAAAGAGCUCGUAGGCGGUUCGAUAAGUCGGGUGUGAAACCUCCAGGCUCAACCUGGAGACGCCACCCGAUACUGUCGUGACUAGAGUCCAGUAGGGGAGCGUGGAAUUCCUGGUGUAGCGGUGAAAUGCGCAGAUAUCAGGAGGAACACCAGCGGCGAAGGCGGCGCUCUGGGCUGGAACUGACGCUGAGGAGCGAAAGCGUGGGGAGCGAACAGG